CCUGACGACCACAGCCCGCUGGCCCCACCCCUUCCCAUCCCGAACAGGACCGUGAAACGGCGGCGCGCCGAUGAUAGUACGGAGCUCCCGUGCGAAAGUAGGUCAUCGUCAGGC
rnacentral:rRNA from 1 species